rnacentral:rRNA from 1 species
GAGUUUGAUCUUGGCUCAGAACGAACGUUGGCGGCGUGCUUAACACAUGCAAGUCGAACGAGAACGGUUUCUUCGGAGACCUAGUAAAGUGGCGCACGGGUGAGUAACACGUAGAUAACCUGUCCAGGUGUUCGGGAUAGCCCUUCGAAAGGGGGGAUUAAUACCGGAUACGUUAGUCUGUUAUAAGGCAGAUUAAGAAAGGUGGCCUCUAUUUAUAAGCUAUCGCAUUUGGAGGGGUCUGCGUACCAUUAGUCUGUUGGUGGGUAAAGGCCUACCAAGACUUCGAUGGUUAGCGGGUCUGAGAGGAUGAUCCGUCACACUGGCACUGAAACACGGGCCAGACUCCUACGGGAGGCAGCAGUGAGGAAUAUUGCGCAAUGGGGGAAACCCUGACGCAGCGACGCCGCGUGGGUGAGGAAGGCUUUCGGGUCGUAAAGCCCUGUCAGAAGGGAAGAAAUAGUGUAUAGGUUAAUAUCUUAUACAUUUGACGGUACCUUCUAAAGGAAGCACCGGCUAACUCCGUGCCAGCCGCCGCCGU